CCUACGGGGUGCUGCAGUGGGGAAUAUUGCACAAUGGGCGCAAGCCUGAUGCAGCCAUGCCGCGUGUGUGAAGAAGGCCUUCGGGUUGUAAAGCACUUUCAGCGGGGAGGAAGGCGGUGAGGUUAAUAACCUCAUCGAUUGACGUUACCCGCAGAAGAAGCACCGGCUAACUCCGUGCCAGCAGCCGCGGUAAUACGGAGGGUGCAAGCGUUAAUCGGAAUUACUGGGCGUAAAGCGCACGCAGGCGGUCUGUCAAGUCGGAUGUGAAAUCCCCGGGCUCAACCUGGGAACUGCAUUCGAAACUGGCGGGCGAGAGUCUUGUAGAGGGGGGUAGAAUUCCAGGUGUAGCGGUGAAAUGCGUAGAGAUCUGGAGGAAUACCGGUGGCGAAGGCGGCCCCCUGGACAAAGACUGACGCUCAGGUGCGAAAGCUUGGGGAGCAAACAGGAUUAGAUACCCUUGGAGUC
rnacentral:rRNA from 1 species